UACGGGGGGGGCAAGCGUUGUUCGGAAUUACUGGGCGUAAAGGGCUCGUAGGCGGCCAACUAAGUCAGACGUGAAAUCCCUCGGCUUAACCGGGGAACUGCGUCUGAUACUGGAUGGCUUGAGUUUGGGAGAGGGAUGCGGAAUUCCAGGUGUAGCGGUGAAAUGCGUAGAUAUUGGGAGGAACACCAGUGACGAAAACAGCUCACUGGACUGGUACUGACACUGAUGCGCGAAAGCGUGGGAAGCAAACAGG
rnacentral:rRNA from 1 species